AUUGAACGCUGGCGGCAGGCCUAACACAUGCAAGUCGAACGAGUGGCGGACGGGUGAGUAAUGUAUGGGAAACUGCCUGAUGGAGGGGGAUAACUAAUGGAAACGGUAGCUAAUACCGCAUACCAUCGGAUGUGCCCAGAUGGGAUUAGCUUGUUGGUGGUGUAACGGCUCACCAAGGCGACGAUCCCUAGCUGGUCUGAGAGGAUGAACACUCACACGUGUACUGAGACACGGUCCAGACUCCUACGGGAGGCAGCAGUGGGGAAUAUUGCACAAUGGGCGCAAGCCUGAUGCAGCCAUGCCGCGUGUAUGAAGAAUGCCUUCGGGUUGUAAAGUACUUUCAGCGGGGAGGCGUUACCCGCAGAAGAAGCACCGGCUAACUCCGUGCCAGCCGCCGCGGUAAUUC
rnacentral:rRNA from 1 species